GAGUUUGAUCCUGGCUCAGGAUGAACGCUGGCGGCGUAGAUAAGGCAUGCAAGUCGAUCGUGAGCACCGCUUCGGCGGUGUCGAACGAGGCAAACGGGUUAGUAACACGUAGGAAUCUGCCUUGAAGUCCGGAAUAACUCGGAGAAAUCCGAGAUAAUACCGGAUAGUCCCGUAAGGGUAAAGUUUUCCAGUUUACUGGAAUUCGCUUCGAGAGGAGCCUGCGUCCUAUCAGCUUGUUGGUGGGGUAAUGGCCUACCAAGGCAAUGACGGGUAGGGGGCGUGAGAGCGUGACCCCCAACAAUGGGACUGCGACACGGCCCAUACACCUACGGGUGGCUGCAGUCGAGAAUCUUCCACAAUGGGCGAAAGCCUGAUGGAGCGACGCCGCGUGUUUGAAGAAGCCCUUCGGGGUGUAAAAAGCUUUUCUGUCUGAGAAAUCCCGACAUCAAGUCGGGAUGAUGUUAGGGCAGGAAUAAGGGGCGGCUAACUUCGUGCCAGAAGCCUCGGUAAUACGAAGGCCCCAAGCGUUAUCCGGAAUCACUGGGCGUAAAGCGUGGGUAGGCGGUUUUGAUAGUGGCUGGUUAAAUUCCGGAGCUCAACUCCGGAGCUGCCAAUCAAACGUCAAGACUGGAGCAAGUAAGAGGCUGAUGGAACUUACCAAGUAGGGGUGAAAUCCGUUGAUAUGGUAAGGAACACCAAAGGCGAAGGCAAUCAGCUGGUGCUUAGCUGACGCUGAGCCACGAAAGCGUGGGUAGCGAACGGGAUUAGAUACCCCGGUAGUCCACGCCCUAAACGAUGUCAACUAGCCGUUUGGAGUAUCGACCCUCCGAGUGGCGAAGCUAACGCGUUAAGUUGACCGCCUGGGAACUACGGCCGCAAGGCUAAAACUCAAAGAAAUAGACGGGGAGUUGUACAAGCGGUGGACCAUGUGGUUUAAUUCGACAUUACGCGAGGAACCUUACCAGGGCUUGACAUCCUGAUGACCGUCUGUCGAAAGAUAGAUUUUCUUUAUGACAUCAGGAUCAGGUGGUGCACGGUUGCCGUCAGUUCGUACUGUGAAGCGUUCCCUUAAGUGGGGAAACGAACGUAACCCUCGCCCUAUGUUAUACGUGUCAUAGGGGACUGCCUCCGGAUAGGGGGAGGAAGGCGGGGACGACGUCAAAUCAGCGUGUCCCUUUGAUGUCCUGGGCGACACACAUGGUACAAUGGCCAGAACAAUGGGUUGCCAAGCCGUAAGGCGGAGCUAAUCCCAUCAAAUCUGGUCCCAGUUCGGAUUGAGGGCUGCAAUUCGCCCUCAUGAAGCCGGAAUCGCUAGUAAUCGCGAAUCAGCCAUGUCGCGGUGAAUACGUUCCCAACUCUUGUACUCACCGCCCGUCAAAUUAGGGAAGUCGGUAGUGCCCGAAGUCUCUCCUUUAAGGAGGGCCUAAGGCAAGAUCGGUGACCAGAAUUAAGUCGUAACAAGGUAACC
rnacentral:rRNA from 1 species